AGUUAUGGUGGGUGGUGUAUUGAGGAGCCGAGAGGCUCGCCGGAUCCUUGCCCCGGUAUCUCAACCCGAUACAUCAUCCGCCGCCCUG
rnacentral:antisense_RNA from 1 species